rnacentral:rRNA from 1 species
CAGCAGCCGCGGUAAUACGAAGGGGGCUAGCGUUGCUCGGAAUUACUGGGCGUAAAGGGAGCGUAGGCGGACAUUUAAGUCAGGGGUGAAAUCCCGGGGCUCAACCUCGGAAUUGCCUUUGAUACUGGGUGUCUUGAGUAUGAGAGAGGUGUGUGGAACUCCGAGUGUAGAGGUGAAAUUCGUAGAUAUUCGGAAGAACACCAGUGGCGAAGGCGACACACUGGCUCAUUACUGACGCUGAGGCUCGAAAGCGUGGGGAGCAAACAGGAUUAGAUACCCCGGUAGUCCCUGUCUCUUAUAC